AGUGUAUUUGACAAGCUGAGUUGGACACUCUGUAUCCGUGAGUGUCAGUUUGUCAAAUACCCCAA
rnacentral:pre_miRNA from 1 species